rnacentral:rRNA from 1 species
CUUUCUGAUCAGUGGCGAACGGGUGAGUAACACGUGAGCAACCUGCCCCUGACUCUGGGAUAACCCCGAGAAAUCGGAGCUAAUACCGGAUACGAGACGCACAGGCAUCUGUAGCGUCUGGAAAGAUUUAUCGGUCAGGGAUGGGCUCGCGGCCUAUCAGCUAGUUGGUGAGGUAGUGGCUCACCAAGGCGACGACGGGUAGCCGGCCUGAGAGGGCGACCGGCCACACUGGGACUGAGACACGGCCCAGACUCCUACGGGAGGCAGCAGUGGGGAAUAUUGCACAAUGGGCGCAAGCCUGAUGCAGCGACGCCGCGUGGGGGAUGAAGGCCUUCGGGUUGUAAACCCCUUUCAGCAGGGAAGAAGCGAAAGUGACGGUACCUGCAGAAGAAGCGCCGGCUAACUACGUGCCAGCAGCCGCGGUAAUACGUAGGGCGCAAGCGUUGUCCGGAAUUAUUGGGCGUAAAGAGCUCGUAGGUGGUUUGUCGCGUCUGCUGUGAAAACCCGAGGCUCAACCUCGGGCUUGCAGUGGGUACGGGCAGACUAGAGUGCGGUAGGGGAGACUGGAAUUCCUGGUGUAGCGGUGGAAUGCGCAGAUAUCAGGAGGAACACCGAUGGCGAAGGCAGGUCUCUGGGCCGCAACUGACACUGAGGAGCGAAAGCAUGGGGAGCGAACAGGAUUAGAUACCCUGGUAGUCCAUGCCGUAAACGUUGGGCACUAGGUGUGGGGCUCAUUCCACGAGUUCCGUGCCGCAGCUAACGCAUUAAGUGCCCCGCCUGGGGAGUACGGCCGCAAGGCUAAAACUCAAAGGAAUUGACGGGGGCCCGCACAAGCGGCGGAGCAUGCGGAUUAAUUCGAUGCAACGCGAAGAACCUUACCAAGGCUUGACAUAUACCGAAAACUCGUGGAGA